rnacentral:rRNA from 1 species
AAGGUAUUGUAAUAAGAUUUUAAUUGAAUGCUAAAAGAAUGGAAAUUUAAAAAAAAACUUUUUUAAAAAUAAAAAUUGAAUUUUUUUUAAUUUGUGCAAAAACAAUUAUUAUUAUUAAAGACAAGAAGACCCUAAGAAUUUAUGAUUUUGUAAUUAAAAGUUUUUUUUAAAAAAUCUUGAUUGGGGCGAUCAAAAAAUAUUAAUAACUUUUUAAAUUUAAAUUGAUCUAUUAUUAAUAAACUAAUGAAUUAAAUACUCUAGGGAUAACAGCGUAAUAAUUUUUGAUAGAUCUUAUUGACAAAAUAGUUUGCGACCUCGAUGUUGGAUUAGGAUUCUUUUUUAAUGAAGAAGUAAAAAAAGAAGUUUGUUCAACUUUUAAAUUCCU